rnacentral:snRNA from 1 species
CUCCAGAAGAAAACCUAGGCAAUGUAUAAAUCUUUCGCCUUUUACUAAAGAUUUCCGUGGAG